GCUUUCAACAUCCCCGUUCUGGAGUUGAGAUUUUGCAGUGGCCGGGCACAAGUGUCCGACGUGCGAACUCCGGAGCUGAAAGC
rnacentral:sRNA from 1 species